CCCUUAGAUGUUCUGGGCCGCACGCGUGCUACACUGAGUAAAUCAAUGGGUAAGGGAACACGAAAGUGCAACCUAAUCUUGAAAUUUGCUCGUAAUGGGGAUCGACGGUUGCAAUUUUCCGUCGUGAACGAGGAAUACCUUGUAGGCGCGUGUCAUCAUCACGCGCCGAAUACGUCCCUGCCCUUUGUACACACCGCCCGUCGCUCCUACCGAUUGAGUGAUCCGGUGAGGCUCUGGGACCUGGACGGAAAGAGCGUUUCGCUUGUUCUGUUUGGGAAACUUGGUCGAACCUUAUCAUUUAGAGGAAGGAGAAGUCGUAACA
rnacentral:rRNA from 1 species